AUCUACGACCAUACCACCCUGAACGUGCCCGAUCUCGUCUGAUCUCAGAAGCUAAGCAGGGUCGGGCCUGGUUAGUACUUGGAUGGGAGAAAACAUAAUGCUCAUUGCUA
rnacentral:rRNA from 1 species